rnacentral:rRNA from 1 species
UACGUAGGUGGCAAGCGUUAUCCGGAUUUACUGGGUGUAAAGGGCGUGUAGGCGGGAAAGCAAGUCAGAUGUGAAAACCACGGGCUCAACCUGUGGCCUGCAUUUGAAACUGUUUUUCUUGAGUACUGGAGAGGCAGACGGAAUUCCUAGUGUAGCGGUGAAAUGCGUAGAUAUUAGGAGGAACACCAGUGGCGAAGGCGGUCUGCUGGACAGCAACUGACGCUGAGGCGCGAAAGCGUGGGGAGCAAACAGGAUUA